rnacentral:rRNA from 1 species
CAGUCGCCGCGGUAAUACGUAGGUGGCAAGCGUUGUCCGGAAUUAUUGGGCGUAAAGGGCUCGCAGGCGGUUUCUUAAGUCUGAUGUGAAAGCCCCCGGCUCAACCGGGGAGGGUCAUUGGAAACUGGGAAACUUGAGUGCAGAAGAGGAGAGUGGAAUUCCACGUGUAGCGGUGAAAUGCGUAGAGGUGUGGAGGAACACCAGUGGCGAAGGCGACUCUCUGGUCUGUAACUGACGCUGAGGAGCGAAAGCGUGGGGAGCAAACAGGAUUAGAUACCCCUGUAGUCCCUGUCUCUUAUAC